UUGAAUAAGUUGAUGUUAGAAUUGGAAAGUAAUAAAAGACCAAAACACAGCUUUCAGUGGGGAUGGCUAUACUGCGAAUUACACGAUGCAACAUUCCUGGAUGAGUCUUUUCUUCUUUUGACUUCUGACAUUGUCGAAUCAUUUUUAAAAAGGAAAGACAGUUUGAUGUGCCUUGUUUGGGAAAGUCAGGCUGUUGUCUAUUGGUUAAAAGCUAUCACAAAUCUAACAACGUUUUCUGAUAAUGGGAGGCUAGUUCAUCUUCGGUCUUCUUCGCCUGAUUUCCGGUCAGAUAAUGAC